GUCCACGCCGUAAACGGUGGAUGCUGGAUGUGGGGACCAUUCCACGGUCUCCGUGUCGGAGCCAACGCGUUAAGCAUCCCGCCUGGGGAGUACGGCCGCAAGGCUAAAACUCAAAGAAAUUGACGGGGGCCCGCACAAGCGGCGGAGCAUGCGGAUUAAUUCGAUGCAACGCGAAGAACCUUACCUGGGCUUGACAUGUUCCCGACAGCCGUAGAGAUACGGUCUCCCUUCGGGGCGGGUUCACAGGUGGUGCAUGGUC
rnacentral:rRNA from 1 species